UAUUAAUCGAAAUCCUGAAAAAUAGCAAGUUUCAUCUGUGUGCAAACUUUUUCCAAGACAAUUCGGUGUCUGUUUCACCUUUCGGUUCAUCUAUAAGCAUCAAAUCUGCAAGACCUGUUCUAAAAUCUCCUAACAAACAGUUCCGGAUGACAGUUGGCAGCAAGUUCCGCAGUUCUUUGUAUUUACUUAUGGAGACACUUAACACAACCACCCCUCAUUAUGUAAGAUGCAUAAAGCCAAACGAUGAGAAGU